rnacentral:rRNA from 1 species
AACGUAGGUUCCGAGCGUUAUCCGGAUUUACUGGGCGUAAAGCGCGUUCAGGCGGUUUGGCAAGUCGGGCAUGAAAUCUCUCGGCUCAACCGGGAGAGGUUGUCCGAUACUGCUGGACUUGAGGGCAGUAGAGGGUGGUGGAAUUCCGGGUGUAGUGGUGAAAUGCGUAGAUAUCUGGAGGAACACCGGUGGCGAAGGCGGCAUCCUGGACCGGUAUUGACGCUGAGGCGCGAAAGCCAGGGGAGCAAACGGG